rnacentral:snRNA from 1 species
AUUGCUUCUCGGCCUUUUGGCUAAGAUCAAGUGUAGUUUGAGUGGAAAUCUUGCUUUUUAAAUAUAUUUCUUUGUGGAUUCUCA